GGCUCAGGAUGAACGCUAGCGGCAGGCUUAAUACAUGCAAGUCGAGGGGCAGCGGGUGUAGCAAUACAUGCCGGCGACCGGCGCACGGGUGCGUAACGCGUAUGCAACCUACCUUUAACCGGAGGAUAGCCCAGAGAAAUCUGGAUUAAUACUCCAUAACAUUGCGAAGAGGCAUCUCUUUGCAAUUAAAGCUCAGGCGGUUUUAGAUGGGCAUGCGUGACAUUAGCUAGUUGGUGAGGUGACGGCUCACCAAGGCUACGAUGUCUAGGGGUUCUGAGAGGAUUAUCCCCCACACUGGUACUGAGACACGGACCAGACUCCUACGGGAGGCAGCAGUAAGGAAUAUUGGGCAAUGGACGCAAGUCUGACCCAGCCAUGCCGCGUGAAGGAUGACGGCCCUAUGGGUUGUAAACUUCUUUUGUACGGGAAAAAACCCCUGGUCGUGAACCGGGGCUGAUGGUACCGUAAGAAUAAGCAUCGGCUAACUCCGUGCCAGCAGCCGCGGUAAUACGGAGGAUGCAAGCGUUAUCCGGAUUCAUUGGGUUUAAAGGGUGCGUAGGCGGGAUAAUAAGUCAGUGGUGAAAUCCUGCAGCUUAACUGCAGAACUGCCAUUGAUACUGUUAACCUUGAGUACAUUUGAAGUGGGCGGAAUGUGUCAUGUAGCGGUGAAAUGCUUAGAUAUGACGCAGAACUCCGAUAGCGAAGGCAGCUCACUAAACUGUAACUGACGCUGAGGCACGAAAGCGUGGGGAUCAAACAGGAUUAGAUACCCUGGUAGUCCACGCCGUAAACUAUGAUCACUCGAUGUGUGCGAUAUACUGUACGCGUCUGAGCGAAAGCAUUAAGUGAUCCACCUGGGGAGUACGUUCGCAAGGAUGAAACUC
rnacentral:rRNA from 1 species